CUCUACAGUGUCUGGGAUUCCAGGCAGACAUCACUGCUUGAAGACCACUCUGCUCCUGCACUUCCUUCUGCUGAUGACACUGUGUCACGUGGUGGGGUCCCUUCCCCAGGAGCUGCUCUCACUGGUGGCAUCACCUCAGAUGGCGCUCAAGAGCCAGGAGGCCCAGUGUCUGCAGCAACAGUGACACCAGCUCCUGUCCCACUUGUGGCAGCAUGCAGAGGCCUGGUGUCCGCUGACCUCUCAGAAAGACACCCAGCUCAAGUUCUGUUGCAUACAACAGCUCAUGGUGCAGCUGCUGUGUUAGCAGAAUCCGGCAAGAGGAGACCCGGGUAAUGGAGCUGUCCAGGUUCCUGCGUGGAGGACUGGGCCACCUCCCUGCCUUCUCCAUGUUCUCAUCCUACCCACCACAGCGUCUGGAAGCCACCAAGCAGCAGAAGCAGCAGUCGUCCCCGCUGAGCCUCCUCCUUCUGUGUUGGCAAGCUCCCAAUAGAAGAUGAAGGGGACAAAGAGGACAGGAAUGUUCAACGUGGACCAGUGUGACUGUGCCUGGGACAGCCUAGAGGCCAGGGCAGCAUUAGUAAUGAAGAUUUCUCCAGUGCCCAGGAAGCACUCACUUGACAGCAUCGGCAGCUGAGGGAACAGAAGCAGCCAUGCCAGUGCCUGGCUUGCCUGGCAACCGUGACCCAGGGUGAGCCUGAGGAGGUGCUGGCUCCAGCAGAGAGAAUGACUGCCUGUCUGGACAAAGCCACCAGGUCUGAAAGCAGGCCAUGGUAAAGCUGAAGGGGAUGACUGCAGGGUCCAGAAUGAAAGCUGGUAUCCUAGAGCCACUUAGGAACACCCUGGAUGGACUCCAUAAAUUCCAUUGCAAGGACUGGGGACAAAUCAAGAACAGAGUGAUUUGAGAGACCAUCCUCCUUCACCAAGAUCUUUGUGGACAUCUGCCUAUUUACAAUCACAUGUCUACGUCUCCCUUUCUAUCCAGCUUGUGAACCUCCCUGUAAGCAAUUGUUCUGUCAGGUAAUUUGCAGCUAUAAACCUAGGUAGCAGCACUAAAAAAAGUUAGCUUGCAUAGUCUGAUUUUACAUUGAAGAAAUGUAGAUCAUUGGAUCAUUCCAGGCUCGCCAUGGCUGGACCUCAAUUGGGUUUGUUUUUUUUUUUUUUUUUUAGUACUUUCCUUUUUAUGGCAAGAUAAUGUUCCUGUGCAUACUGUAGUCCAAAUGACAGAAAACUAUACACAGGGUCAAAGUCUCCCCGAUUCCCAUUUUCCCAGGCCCAUACUUGUUACCUUUACUUUCUUAUUUUAUUAUUAUUAGCUCUCAGUAGUUUCCUUACAGUUUUACAUUUAAUUUAUCAAUGUGAAUAACUGUUUUGCUGACUUUCAUGAAUGUUUUAUUUCUCAUCACACAUUACCCCUUUCCUCUUCCCACUUUGUGAAAUGUGCUAUGUGUUAAUUUAAAUUUAGCAAUAUUCAUAAAAGCAUAGGGGAGACUGUAUGGCAACAGUAUGGGACUAGGGAAGAGAAGGAAAUAAAAGGGAGGUUAAUUGUGGGGUUAGAUAUCAUCAAAAUAUGUGACAUGCAUGUAUGCAAGCAACACAUUCAAACCCAAUAUUUUGUAAAAGUGUACGUAACUAAUAAAACUUUAUGAAAUACC